rnacentral:rRNA from 1 species
GGUUACGAUCAUACCAGCACUAAUGCACCGGAUCCCAUCAGAACUCCGCAGUUAAGCGUGCUUGGGCGAGCGUAGUACUAGGAUGGGUGACCCCCUGGGAAGUCCUCGUGUUGCAACCC